CUACGGGGGGCUGCAGUGGGGAAUCUUAGACAAUGGGCGCAAGCCUGAUCUAGCCAUGCCGCGUGAGUGACGAAGGCCUUAGGGUCGUAAAGCUCUUUCGCCAGGGAUGAUAAUGACAGUACCUGGUAAAGAAACCCCGGCUAACUCCGUGCCAGCAGCCGCGGUAAUACGGAGGGGGUUAGCGUUGUUCGGAAUUACUGGGCGUAAAGCGCGCGUAGGCGGAUUGGAAAGUUGGGGGUGAAAUCCCGGGGCUCAACCCCGGAACUGCCUCCAAAACUAUCAGUCUAGAGUUCGAGAGAGGUGAGUGGAAUUCCGAGUGUAGAGGUGAAAUUCGUAGAUAUUCGGAGGAACACCAGUGGCGAAGGCGGCUCACUGGCUCGAUACUGACGCUGAGGUGCGAAAGUGUGGGGAGCAAACAGGAUUAGAUACCCCAGUAGUC
rnacentral:rRNA from 1 species